AACUCUGAGCGGUGGAUCACUCAGCUCAUGCAUUGAUGAAGAAUGCAGCUUGCUGCAAGAACUAAUGUGAAUUGCAGGACACAUUGACCAUCGACACUUCAAAUGCACUUUGCAGCCCUGGGUUACUCCCGGGGAUACGCUUCUCUGAGGGUCA